ACAGUUCGGUCCCUAUCCGUCGUGGGCGUAGGAAAUUUGAGAGGAGCUGUCCUUAGUACGAGAGGACCGGGAUGGACAUACCUCUGGUGUACCAGUUGUCGUGCCAACGGCAUAGCUGGGUAGCUAUGUAUGGACGGGAUAAGUGCUGAAAGCAUCUAAGCAUGAAGCCCCCCUCAAGAUGAGAUUUCCCAACUUCGGUUAUAAGAUCCCUCGAAGAUGACGAGGUUAAUAGGUUCGAGGUGGAAGCGUGGUGACACGUGGAGCUGACGAAUACUAAUCGAUCGAAGACUUAAUCAAUUUUUAAA
rnacentral:rRNA from 1 species